GUGUUCUCUUUGGGAGUACACAGGCCAAAAUUAGAAUGACACAGAGAAGAUUAGCAUGGACCCUGAGCAAGGAUGAUAUGAAAAUUUGUGAAGAAUUCCAUAUUUAA
ensembl:snRNA U6 U6 spliceosomal RNA